rnacentral:rRNA from 1 species
CUGCAUUUUGAUACUGGCAAACUAGAGUAUGGUAGAGGAAUGGGGAAUUUCUGGUGUAGCGGUGAAAUGCGUAGAGAUCAGAAGGAACACCAAUGGCGAAGGCAACAUUCUGGACCAAUACUGACACUGAGGGACGAAAGCGUGGGGAUCAAACAGGAUUAGAUACCCUGGUAGUCCACGCUGUAAACGAUGAGUACUAGCUGUUGGAUUCGGUGUAAAGGAUCUAGUGGCGUAGCUAACGCGUUAAGUACUCCGCCUGGGGACUACGGCCGCAAGGCUAAAACUCAAAGGAAUUGACGGGGACCCGCACAAGCGGUGGAGCAUGUGGUUUAAUUCGAUGCAACGCGAAGAACCUUACCUGGUCUUGACAUCCUGCGAACUUUCUAGAGAUAGAUUGGUGCCUUCGGGAACGCAGUGACAGGUGCUGCACGGCUGUCGUCAGCUCGUGUUGUGAAAUGUUGGGUUAAGUCCCGCAACGAGCGCAACCCCUAUUGAUAGUUACCAUCAUUAAGUUGGGUACUCUAUUGAGACUGCCGCUGACAAGGCGGAGGAAGGUGGGGACGACGUCAAGUCAUCAUGGCCCUUACGACCAGGGCUACACACGUGCUACAAUGGGUAUUACAGAGGGCAGCGAAGUAGCGAUAUGGAGCGGAACUCAGAAAGGUACUCUUAGUCCGGAUUGCAGUCUGCAACUCGACUGCAUGAAGUCGGAAUCGCUAGU